UACGAAGGGGGCUAGCGUUGCUCGGAAUUACUGGGCGUAAAGGGCGCGUAGGCGGAUAGUUUAGUCAGAGGUGAAAGCCCAGGGCUCAACCUUGGAACUGCCUUUGAUACUGGCUGUCUUGAGUACGGGAGAGGUGAGUGGAACUCCGAGUGUAGAGGUGAAAUUCGUAGAUAUUCGGAAGAACACCAGUGGCGAAGGCGACUCACUGGCCCGUUACUGACGCUGAGGCGCGAAAGCGUGGGGAGCAAACAGG
rnacentral:rRNA from 1 species